rnacentral:rRNA from 1 species
AAAGCACUUUCAGUCGUGAGGAAGGUAGUGUAGUUAAUAGCUGCAUUAUUUGACGUUAGCGACAGAAGAAGCACCGGCUAACUCCGUGCCAGCAGCCGCGGUAAUACGGAGGGUGCGAGCGUUAAUCGGAAUUACUGGGCGUAAAGCGCAUGCAGGUGGUUUGUUAAGUCAGAUGUGAAAGACCCGGGGCGUCAACCUCGGAAUAGCAUUUGAAACUAGGCAGACUAGAGUACUGUAGAGGGGGUAGGAAGUUUCAGGUGUAGCGGUGAAAUGCGUAGAGAUCUGAAGGAAUACCGGUGGCGAAGGCGGCCCCCUCGGACAGAUACUGACACUCAGAUGCGAAAGCGUGGGGAGCAAACAGGAUUAGAUACCCUGGUAG